GAUGAACGCUGGCGGCGUGCCUAAUACAUGCCAGUCGAGCGAACAGACGAGGAGCUUGCUCCUCUGACGUUAGCGGCGGACGGGUGAGUAACACGUGGAUAACCUACCUAUAAGACUGGGAUAACUUCGGGAAACCGGAGCUAAUACCGGAUAAUAUAUUGAACCGCAUGGUUCAAUAGUGAAAGACGGUUUUGCUGUCACUUAUAGAUGGAUCCGCGCCGCAUUAGCUAGUUGGUAAGGUAACGGCUUACCAAGGCAACGAUGCGUAGCCGACCUGAGAGGGUGAUCGGCCACACUGGAACUGAGACACGGUCCAGACUCCUACGGGAGGCAGCAGUAGGGAAUCUUCCGCAAUGGGCGAAAGCCUGACGGAGCAACGCCGCGUGAGUGAUGAAGGUCUUCGGAUCGUAAAACUCUGUUAUUAGGGAAGAACAAAUGUGUAAGUAACUAUGCACGUCUUGACGGUACCGAAGCAGAAAGCCACGGCUAACUACGU
rnacentral:rRNA from 1 species